GUGAAUUGCUGUGUGAUGUUCACAUGGAGGAUAUUUGACAACAUCCCCGGCCUCUACUCAAUGGCUAUUGUUUUCACAACAUCUACAGCCAAUAUGAACUGCUGCUCUAUGAUGCCCUGGAAUGAAAUGUAAAGACUAU